GGAGCCGUGCCUGAAUAAAGGGCCACUUUGAUAGAGUGAAUCAUGAGGGUUAAAACCCCUUCGACUCCU
rnacentral:tRNA from 1 species